rnacentral:rRNA from 1 species
GUCGAGAAUCUUUCACAAUGGGGGCAACCCUGAUGGAGCGACGCCGCGUGGAGGAUAAGGUCUUCGGAUUGUAAACUCCUGUCAUGCGUGAACAAGGUUGCUUGGUUAAUACCUGGGCAAAUUGAUGGUAACGCAAGAGGAAGAGCCGGCUAACUCUGUGCCAGCAGCCGCGGUAAUACAGAGGUCUCAAGCGUUGUUCGGAAUCACUGGGCGUAAAGGGUGCGUAGGUGGCGUGGUAAGUCAGAUGUGAAAGCCCGGGGCUCAACCUCGGAACUGCAGCCGAUACUGCCAUGCUAGAGUACUGGAGAGGUGACUAGAAUUCUCGGUGUAGCAGUGAAAUGCGUAGAUAUCGAGAGGAAUACCAAAGGCGUAGGCAGGUCACUGGACAGUUACUGACACUGAGGCACGAAGGCCAGGGGAGCGAACGGGAUUAGAUACCCUUGUAGUCC